rnacentral:rRNA from 1 species
AUACGUAGGUGACAAGCGUUAUCCGGAUUUACUGGGCGUAAAGGGCGUGUAGGCGGUCUUGCAAGUCAGAAGUGAAAUUCCUGAGCUCAACUCGGGCGCUGCUUCUGAAACUGCAGGACUUGAGUGCUGGAGGGGAUAGCGGAAUUCCUAGUGGAGCGGUAAAAUGCGCAGAUAUUAGGAAGAACACCGGUGGCGAAGGCGGCUACCUGGACAGUAACUGACGCUGAUGCGCGAAAGCUUGGGGAGCAAACAGGAGUAGAUACCCUGUUAGGCCACGCUGUAAACGAUGAAUACUAGGUGUAGGGGGUAUCGACUCCCUCUGUGCCGCAGUUAACACAAUAAGUAUUCCGCCUGGGGAGUACGGCCGCAAGGUUGAAACUCAAAUGAAUUGACGGGG